UACGAUGAUGGUUUCAACAUAUGC
rnacentral:siRNA from 1 species